rnacentral:lncRNA from 1 species
GUGCCUAGCUUUAGUCUUAGAAAUGAAAGAAACUAGCUCUUGGUUCUCGUUUGUUAAAGGAACCAUAGGAAAUUCUGAGGCGCGCUGACUUUGCGGCCAAGGCCCCUCCCAGCUCUAAGGGCGGAUGCCUCUAGGCUGACGGCUCUCAGACUGUUGACCAGUGACCCACUUGGAUAAAAGAUGCCAUGGUCCACCUACCCCAACCUGUCCCAAUUUCCAAUGGAGAAGGAACUGUGCGAUAACAGGCAAUGCCACCGUCCAAGCAAAUGUGAGGCAUGUACCCAUCUGCCUUUGCAACAGAGAUGUCGACGGUUGGCAUAGAAGUUUUAGGAACCCAGUGCCUCCCGUAAUCUGAAAGAGCAGCCUGAGGUUGGACACUUGAGGCAUGAAAGGUUGUCAGUGAAGAGGAAGGUGACGAUUUCACCUAAACAGGACAUUAUGAAACAUCUCAGGUCGCACCACCUCCCCUGCCUACAUUUGUGACCAAGUCUGAGAGAAGCCAUGUCAGCUGGGACUCUGCAAGCCGGGCGGCCUGUGGCAUUCCUGCUCUGCCCUUGAAUGGAAAACUCACCUGGCAUUUGAGUGUGUUGAUUGAGAUUCUGCCGGCCUCUGGCUCGUGCUCAGGAAAACCCCCUUCUCAUUACAGCCCAGCUUGGUUUCACGGAGGUGACUUUUGAAGUUUCCCGCGGGGGUGGCAGUGGAGGGGAGACAUUUGUAUGUGUUUCAAGGCGUGUUUGUUUCAAAGUGGGCUUCGAAUAAUGCCGCGGUGCAGAACUGGGCCAUUGUCAGCAGAUAAAUGCAGGGCUGACGUCUGUGGGCCUAUUAUCUGCACUGUUCUAACGACCCAGGAAGAGCGGGCUUGCUGACCAUUGUCAGGACUCACUUGACCAAAAAGCAAAGGGGAGUGGGGGUGGCGAGCCGAGCUCUCUGCUGAUCACUUCACUUUGCUGAUUGUGUGACCAGGGGGCUAGAGAAAGUUCCAUCAACUGGAGCCAUGCGGCUACUGCAGAGCGAAAACCGGCAGGGCUUCUGUUUGACCCCUGGCUCUUGAAAACCACGCCAACAAG